rnacentral:lncRNA from 1 species
AUCCCUGGCUCUUCCAGGGAGGGCCUCUUCUGAUUCUCAUAGAGGGUUCAUGUUCAUCAUACUGCAUUUGACUUCCAGGAUGUUCACAUGCUCUCUCUGUCACAGUGAUCUCAACAAGACUCUACAGACACAUGAGUUAGCCCUCCUUUCAGGUGAACCCUGCUUGCCCAUAAGCCGUUGGACUGCUACAGAUGGCCUCAGGAAAAAAAAUAGGGACCUUGGCGAGGGGUGGGGUGGGGGAACAACUGGACUCACUGAGAAACACUGCUUUGGUUGGAGCACUU